UACGUAGGGGGCAAGCGUUGUCCGGAAUCAUUGGGCGUAAAGAGCGUGUAGGCGGCUCGGGUAGUCUGGUGUGAAAUCUUUCGGCUCAACCGGAAGCGGUCACUGGAUACUCUCGGGCUUGAAUCCGGAAGAGGAGAGUGGAAUUCCUGGUGUAGCGGUGGAAUGCGCAGAUAUCAGGAGGAGCACCGGUGGCGAAGGCGGUUCUCUGGGCCUUACCUGACGCUGAGGAGCGAAAGCGUGGGGAGCGAACAGG
rnacentral:rRNA from 1 species